rnacentral:lncRNA from 8 species
AUGAUUCAUUGUUAUAUGUUGAAGUAUUUUCACAUACCGGUACUAACUAAACAUUAUUUUCUUUGUCUUAUUAUGUUUCAGACCGGAAUGGGUAACCCAGGGAUGUCCGGACCAAAUCAUACUGGACCCUGGGGUAGCAGGCAUGGGAUGGGUGAUCCUGGCUCAACUGGGAAUGGAUUUGGCGGGGCAGGGGCAAGCUCAAGAGGGUUUGAGUCCACUGGGAUGGGUUCGAAUGGUUACAGUUUAGCACAUAUCAAUCAACACUUACGAGAGCUGCAGCAGAAUUCUAAUGCCGACUCCGGCUCAGAAGUAUCUGGGUAA